rnacentral:lncRNA from 1 species
GGGGCAAGUGGUAGUGGGAAGGGGGGGGAAGGGGUAAGGGAGAGCAAGAGGCGCCUUGUCAUGCCGUGUAAUGACGACGAGUCAGUGCGACGCCCUGUUGGAAGGUGCAGCAGCAGAAACUUGAUGACGAGACGAGGAAGAGCAAAAAAAAAUAUACUAAAAAAAAGAGACAGUCAGACAGAAUGAGAGAGAGAGAGAAAGAAAGAAAGAAAGGGAAAAAAAAAGGAAACUAACAAACGUCCUGCUUUAUCUUCUCGCAAAACCGAAUAAAGUUUUCUCUCUCGGGUAAAGCCAAAACGAUGCAACUGGUUGCGAUUGAUCGUCCCAUGUAAAACAUGAAUGGAUGGAUGCUGAUCUUGGAAUGUAUAUGUGUUUGCGUGUACGUGUGUACGCGUGUGUGUAUGUAUGAUUCUUUCUUCGAGACUUUCAGGAACGUACAAUUAUUUUUUAGGUUAUGUUGGUAGUAGUAGCAGCAGCAGCAGGUAUAUCUUAUUCUUUUUGGGGUUGUCUAGUUUUGAUGUCAUUAGACAUGGUUCAGUGACAAGGAUGAGAGAGUUUUUUUUCUUUUUUCUUUUUUUUUUCGAUGGGAUUUCAUUCGGAGUCCAUAAGAUUUGUAAUUUUCCAUUUGACUAUGGUUUAUUAUUUCUUUCGAUUUUUGGUCGAUCAUUGUUAGAACGAUGAUUCAAAUUGGAAUAUCGUUCGAAAACGAAAACUUAAAGAAACUUAUUUGGACUUUUUAUUGGUUUCUUCGAAUAAUUCAGGAAAAUAUUUUUUUUAGAUUUGCGUUAACAAACAUAAUGUUUUUCUAUUUUAAUUUUAUUCACGAUCAAUUGAUUCAACAUUGUUAACUGAUUUAAAUCAAUCGGCAUUAAGUUAAAUGAAAUAAAUUUUUUGGAAGAUUAUGUUAAAAUACCACGUGAAAUGAAUUAUUCGAUAAUAAAAUUUUCAUGAUUACAUUUCAAUGUUUAAUGUUAACGAAAGGUGUUACUUAGAAAAUAACUCGAGGAUUGAAUAUAAGUUUAGUUUCUUUCAUAUAGUAUCCAUAAUAUAUUUGAUUAUACAAUUAAAUUUCAUUGGGUUAUCAAUUUGGGGUGUUUAACAGUCGACAGAAAUGAGCUAAUAAUUCGAAAAUAAAUGGUUACGACCAAUAAGAAGUAAAAAUACAAAUACGUGAAUAGUUCGGUAGUCCCGAAACGAAUUAUUUUACAAAAAAAACCUCCCCCUGAAAUGGGACUUCUCGUUUUAAGAAGAAGAAAAUAAAAAAAAAAAGAAAAAAAGGAAAGAAACUCGUAUCGUAAUUUUCGAUCGGAUAGUAACGAGGCGUCAACUGGCACGUUUCCCCAGAUAUAAACAUAUUUAGUGAAAACAUAUCGUUUCAGUGAAUUUACGCGGGACCCAAAUCGAUAAAAGUGGACAUUAACGAGGCCAUCGAAUUACGUUUUCAUAGCCGUGCCGAAAAGGAACACUAUUGGGGUAAGAGUAGGAGUAGGAGAGGGGGGGAAGUAGGGCCCGUUCUGGGACUCAACCUUUUACCUUUCUUUUUCUUCCUUUUGCCUUGUUCACGUAUUCCUUUAAAAUCGAAAAGAAAAUCAAGCGAAACAAAUGUACAACAAAUCUAUCCUUGAUCGUUGAUUAUUGGGGAAAGAAAAAACACGAUUGAGAUUAGAAACGUUGAAAACCCGUGGUAAAUUAAACAACGUCGCAUUUAACGGGAGAUUAAAGAAUGAAAGGAAUGAAUGAAGAAAAGAAAAAGAAGGAAAAAAAAAAAGGGCGAGUACCCCUAAAUGUGACCGGUUCGAUAAACAACACUCCCCCCCCCUCAUUCUCCUCCACCUCUUGACCCCGGUCAUCCCUGUGGUGAGAAAAAGAAAGAGGAACGAGAGACCAGGCGUUAAAUGAAAUUAGCGCGGCGUUUAGUCGAGUUAGACGGCCCGUUUAGGCGAUCCUUUUUGGGGUUAUAAAUUAUUCCGGAAUGACUUGCAGCAUGCUGAAGUGAAAGAGAAAAAGAUAUAGAUAUAGAUAUACGCUAUCGCAAAA